GGGGGGCGCGGACACGCGUGAUGUGCGCGGUCCCCGUGCAGCCCGCCCUGCCGCAGGCUGCCCUCCACCCCCAGCCCCAGCUCCAGCCCCCAGCCCGUCCCCACUGCUCAUAUCCGAGCAGAUAGACCCCGGCCCCACCCUCCCGUGCUGAGCCUCCUUUCUGCCGGGAAGUUCGUCCGGGAGUCAAACAUCGGUGCCCUCCGGUUGCGCCACGGAGGGGGAGCCAGGAUAGGAAGCUGCCGUGAAAUCAGGAAGCUGAACGCGCCGGGCCCCGGAUUCGAUCAGAAAAGGCUUCCACCCGCUCCCCUGAGCGAUCCCACGCUGAGGGACUGAACCCCGCACCCCAGCCGCGCUCACCACCCCCACCCUCUCGCCUGGGCUGCUCUGACCUGGGGAUUCCAGAACUGCCACUCAAAGUGCCAUAUGAGGAGCUGUGGUAACAGGGUAAUGUUCUCAUGACUCAAAAAUCAGUGGAAAAAGGUACAGGAUGAGAAGCCUUGUUUCCCAAUCCCAUCAACAGGUACUCACUUUCAUUAAUUUUCUGUGUAUUUUUCCAGUUUCUUUUCAUACACAAGCAAAUAUUGAUAUAUUCUUAUUUUUCUUCCUUUAAAAAAUGGUAGAUUAUGCACACUGUACUGCACCUUGCUUUACUUACUAACAUAUCAUGAACUUUUCUCAUGCCUGUGAUAUAAAAAUAAUUUAUGUUAUUUUAUUUUUUAAGAGACAGGGU